CCAGGCUGCAGUGAGCUAUGAUCACACCCCUGUACUCCAGCCUGGGUCACAGAAUAAGUCCCCAUCUCAAAAACAAACAAAAAAAUCCACCUAUGGAGGACUGUUAGAGAUAGUGAAUUCACAAACUGAACUGGCCAUAGGACAGUGGAAAGCAGAUUGUAGUACUUUUCCUUUCCUUAAGGUAGUCUACUGCAAAGAACCACCUCUCCAUGUAAGAGCUGCUUUGGACUCCUUAAGUUUUAUAUAUAUGCCCGAGGGCUUGUGUAGUGGAGGGCUUGUGUACUUUCCCCUGCUUCUCAGAAGGGGAAAAGAGCUGAACCAAGCAUGCCAACUUAUUCUUUCCACAUUUUUAAGUCAGGAAGUCACUGCUUUGUCUAGAAGAAUGUGUAAAGGAGUGAGAGAUUCCAGGAGUUACCAAGUGGGCUACCUUCACUUUAAAAGAAAUAACAGGGCUGGGCAUGGUGGCUCACACCUAUAAUCCCAGCACUUUGGGAGGCCGAGGCGGGUGGAUCAUGAGGUCAGGAGUUUGAGACCAGCCUGGCUAACAUAGUGAAACACCGUCUCUACUAAAAAUACAAAAAUUAGCCGGGCAUUGUGGCAUGCACUUGUAGUCCAAGCUACUUGGGAGGCUGAGGCAGGAGAAUCGCUUGAACCUGGGAGGCAGAAGUUGCAGUGAGCUGAGAUGACGCCAGUGCACUCCAGCCUGGGCAACAGAGUGAGACUCCGUCUCAAGGAAAAAAAAAAGAAAUAACAUUAAUGGGGUAAAAUUUCCCCACUCCCCAAUUCCCUCAGGUGGAAAUCUCAGGUCUGUUCUGCUUACCAACAGGGAAAGUUUAAAGAAAGAGGAAAUGAUCGCAGGGAAAAGCUCCAGUCUUUUGACUCUCCAGAAAGGAAACGGAUUAAAUACUCCAGGGAAUCUGACAGUGAUCGUAAACUUGUUGAUAAAGAAGAUACCGACACUAGCAGCAAAGGAGGCUGUGUCCAACAGGCUACUGGCUGGAGGAAAGGGGCAGGCCUGGGAUAUGGCCAUCCUGGAUUGGCUCCAUCAGAGGAGGCUGAAGGCCGGAUGAGGGGCCCCAGUGUUGGAGCCCCAGGAAGAACCAGCAAAAGACAGUCCAAUGAGACUUAUCGAGAUGCUGUUCGAAGAGUCAUGUUUGCUCGGUAUAAAGAACUCGAUUAAGAAUGGAGACAAGUUCCAUGGGACACAACCUCCUUCUUGUUUUGUUUGUCUCUCCUUUUCUUUUGUUACUGUUCUUGCUGCUAGAACUUUUUUAAAUAAACUUUUUUUCAAUGUGA